CGCGCCGCCCGGGCGAUGAGAAGCUGCUUCUGCGUGAGACGGAGCCGGGACCCGCCGCCGCCGCCGCCCCAGCGGGGAACACUGGCAGCUGGAUCUCAUCUCAUUUUAACAGGGCUAGAAAACCUUAUCAACUGCCCCAGAAAGUUAGCAGAGGAGCUCUGCGGAAGCCUACACUAACUGAAAAACGCAGGGUACUCGAAGGACCGAUCCACCAUGCCUGAGGUCAAAGACCUUUCGGAAGCCCUGCCAGAGACAUCGAUGGACCCCAUCACAGGAGUGGGGGUCGUGGCUUCU